AAAACGGAGAGUUUGAUCCUGGCUCAGGAUGAACGCUGGCGGCGUGCUUAACACAUGCAAGUCGAACGAACCUUCGGGUUAGUGGCGGACGGGUGAGUAACGCGUGAGAAUCUGCCCUCAGGAGGGGGAUAACAGUUGGAAACGACUGCUAAUACCCCAUAUGCCGAGAGGUGAAAUGAGUUUCGCCUGGGGAUGAGCUCGCGUCUGAUUAGCUUGUUGGUGGGGUAAUGGCCUACCAAGGCUUCGAUCAGUAGCUGGUCUGAGAGGACGAUCAGCCACACUGGGACUGAGACACGGCCCAGACUCCUACGGGAGGCAGCAGUGGGGAAUUUUCCGCAAUGGGCGAAAGCCUGACGGAGCAACGCCGCGUGAGGGAUGGAGGCCUUUGGGCUGUAAACCUCUUUUCUCAAGGAAGAAGAUCUGACGGUACUUGAGGAAUAAGCCACGGCUAAUUCCGUGCCAGCAGCCGCGGUAAUACGGGAGUGGCAAGCGUUAUCCGGAAUUAUUGGGCGUAAAGCGUCCGCAGGCGGCCGUUUAAGUCUGUUGUUAAAUCGUGGAGCUCAACUCCAUCACGGCAAUGGAAACUGUUCGGCUUGAGUAUGGUAGGGGCAGAGGGAAUUUCCGGUGUAGCGGUGAAAUGCGUAGAUAUCGGGAAGAACACCAGUGGCGAAAGCGCUCUGCUGGGCCAUUACUGACGCUCAUGGACGAAAGCCAGGGGAGCGAAAGGGAUUAGAUACCCCUGUAGUCCUGGCCGUAAACGAUGAACACUAGAUGUUGGGGGAAUCGACCCCCUCGGUGUCGUAGCUAACGCGUUAAGUGUUCCGCCUGGGGAGUACGCACGCAAGUGUGAAACUCAAAGGAAUUGACGGGGGCCCGCACAAGCGGUGGAGUAUGUGGUUUAAUUCGAUGCAACGCGAAGAACCUUACCAAGGCUUGACAUCCUGCGAAUCUCUGAGAAAUUAGAGAGUGCCUUCGGGAACGCAGUGACAGGUGGUGCAUGGCUGUCGUCAGCUCGUGUCGUGAGAUGUUGGGUUAAGUCCCGCAACGAGCGCAACCCACGUUUUUAGUUGCCAGCAUUCAGUUGGGCACUCUAGAAAGACUGCCGGUGACAAACCGGAGGAAGGUGUGGACGACGUCAAGUCAUCAUGCCCCUUACGCCUUGGGCUACACACGUACUACAAUGCUGCGGACAAAGAGUAGCGAUCUUGCGAAAGUUAGCUAAUCUCAUAAACCGUGGCUCAGUUCAGAUCGUAGGCUGCAACUCGCCUACGUGAAGAAGGAAUCGCUAGUAAUCGCAGGUCAGCAUACUGCGGUGAAUACGUUCCCGGGCCUUGUACACACCGCCCGUCACACCAUGGAAGUUGGCCAUGCCCGAAGUCGUUACUCUAACCUUUUGGAAGAGGGCGCCGAAGGCAGGGCUAAUGACUGGGGUGAAGUCGUAACAAGGUAGCCGUAGCGGAAGCUGCGGCUGGAUCACCUCCUAA
rfam:Candidatus Synechococcus spongiarum 142 NODE_187, whole genome shotgun sequence.